GGAGGAGAGCGGGGGUAGGGCUGCUGGGGAGGCCCAGGCGGCGGAGCCUCGGGGGCAGCGAACGGCGGGCAGCGGAGCGGGAGACGGUGGUUCGGGCAUUUUAAAAAUAUUUAAUCAUUCAUGAGUUGAGCUUCAUUCUUGAGUCAUGGAUGACAAGGCUUCUGUUGGAAAAAUCAGUGUCUCCUCAGACUCAGUAUCUACUCUUAAUAGUGAAGAUUUUGUCUUGGUUUCCAGGCAAGGAGAUGAGACACCAUCUACAAAUAAUGGAAGUGAUGACGAGAAAACAGGACUCAAGAUUAUAGGCAAUGGAAGUGAGCAGCAGCUGCAAAAAGAGCUAGCAGAUGUGCUGAUGGAUCCUCCAGUGGACGACCAGCCAGGGGAUAAGGAGCUUGUGGAAAGGUCACAACUGGAUGGUGAAGGAGAUGGGCUUCUUUCUAAUCAACUUACAGCUUCAUCUACCAUUAACCCUGUGCCAUUAGUAGGGCUCCAAAAACCAGAGAUGAGCCUGCCAGUGAAACCUGGACAAGGAGAUUCUGAAGGGUCAAGUCCCUUCACACCAGUGGCUGAUGAGGACAGUGUCAUUUUCAGCAAACUAACUUACUUAGGCUGUGCCUCAGUAAAUGCUCCUAGGAGUGAAGUGGAAGCCUUAAGGAUGAUGUCCAUCCUAAGAAGCCAGUGUCAGAUUUCAUUAGAUGUGACCCUCUCAGUGCCGAAUGUAUCUGAAGGAACUGUGAGACUCUUAGAUCCUCAGACAAAUACUGAGAUAGCAAACUACCCUAUCUACAAAAUCCUCUUCUGCGUCAGAGGGCACGAUGGAACUCCUGAGAGCGACUGUUUUGCUUUCACUGAAAGUCAUUACAAUGCAGAACUCUUCAGAAUACAUGUCUUCCGGUGUGAAGUACAAGAAGCUGUAAGCCGGAUACUUUAUAGUUUUGCCACUGCCUUCCGUCGUUCUGCUAAGCAGACCCCACUUUCAGCAACUGCCGCACUCCAGACUCCUGACAGUGACAUCUUUACCUUUUCAGUGUCUUUAGAAAUAAAAGAAGAUGAUGGUAAAGGGUAUUUUAGUGCAGUUCCUAAAGAUAAGGACAGACAAUGCUUUAAACUGCGCCAGGGAAUUGAUAAGAAGAUUGUCAUCUAUGUGCAACAAACAACUAAUAAAGAACUUGCCAUUGAAAGGUGUUUUGGUCUUCUCCUUAGCCCAGGAAAAGAUGUACGAAAUAGUGACAUGCACUUGUUAGAUUUGGAAUCUAUGGGCAAAAGUUCAGAUGGGAAGUCCUAUGUUAUUACUGGGAGCUGGAAUCCCAAAUCCCCACAUUUUCAAGUUGUAAAUGAAGAAACUCCUAAAGAUAAAGUGCUGUUUAUGACCACAGCUGUUGAUUUGGUAAUAACAGAAGUACAGGAGCCUGUUCGAUUUCUCAUAGAGACAAAAGUCCGUGUUUGCUCACCUAAUGAAAGAUUGUUCUGGCCCUUCAGCAAACGUAGUACUACUGAAAAUUUCUUUUUGAAACUAAAGCAGAUAAAGCAGAAGGAGAGAAAGAACAAUACUGAUACUUUAUAUGAAGUUGUAUGCUUGGAAAGUGAAUCAGAAAGAGAGAGGAGGAAAACUACAGCCAGCCCCUCAAUUCGCCUGCCACAGUCUGGAUCUCAGAGUUCAAUGAUACCUUCUCCUCCUGAAGAUGAUGAAGAGGAAGAUAAUGAUGAACCUCUCUUGAGUGGAUCUGGUGAUGUAUCCAAAGAAUGUGCAGAAAAAAUUCUUGAAACAUGGGGAGAACUACUGUCAAAAUGGCAUCUCAAUUUGAGUGUGAGACCAAGGCAGUUGUCAUCCUUGGUAAGAAGUGGUGUUCCUGAAGCACUCAGAGGAGAAGUCUGGCAGCUGCUAGCUGGCUGUCACAACAGUGACCACCUGGUAGAGAAAUACAGAAUUCUCAUCACAAAGGAGUCUCCCCAAGACAGUGCUAUUACUCGGGAUAUUAACCGGACAUUCCCAGCCCAUGACUAUUUUAAGGACACAGGAGGAGAUGGACAAGAUUCCUUAUAUAAAAUAUGCAAGGCUUACUCCGUGUAUGAUGAAGAGAUUGGCUAUUGCCAGGGCCAGUCAUUUCUCGCUGCUGUUCUGCUUCUCCAUAUGCCUGAAGAACAGGCAUUCAGUGUUCUGGUCAAGAUCAUGUUUGACUAUGGUCUCAGGGAACUGUUCAAGCAAAACUUUGAAGAUUUGCAUUGCAAAUUUUACCAGUUGGAGCGCCUCAUGCAGGAAUACAUUCCUGACCUGUACAACCACUUCCUGGAUAUAAGCCUUGAAGCACACAUGUAUGCCUCCCAGUGGUUUCUUACACUUUUCACUGCAAAAUUCCCUCUCUACAUGGUCUUCCAUAUCAUCGACCUGCUUUUAUGUGAGGGAAUAAGUGUUAUUUUUAAUGUCGCCCUUGGAUUAUUAAAGACUUCCAAGGAUGAUUUGCUAUUGACAGACUUUGAAGGUGCCUUGAAGUUCUUCAGGGUUCAGCUUCCUAAGAGAUACCGCUCAGAAGAAAAUGCAAAAAAACUAAUGGAAUUAGCUUGCAACAUGAAGAUUAGUCAAAAGAAGUUGAAAAAAUAUGAAAAAGAGUAUCACACCAUGAGAGAACAGCAGGCCCAACAAGAAGACCCCAUCGAGCGAUUUGAGCGGGAGAAUAGACGUCUGCAAGAGGCUAACAUGAGGCUGGAACAGGAAAAUGAUGACUUAGCCCACGAGCUCGUUACCAGCAAGAUUGCACUGCGAAAGGACCUGGAUAAUGCAGAGGAAAAGGCAGAUGCACUGAAUAAGGAGCUGCUUAUGACCAAACAGAAGUUGAUUGAUGCAGAGGAAGAGAAAAGACGGCUGGAAGAAGAGUCUGCUCAGUUAAAAGAAAUGUGUCGACGGGAACUCGACAAGGCAGAAUCUGAGAUUAGAAAAAACAGUUCUAUCAUCGGUGACUACAAGCAGAUUUGUUCUCAGUUGAGUGAAAGACUGGAGAAGCAGCAGACAGCUAAUAAAGUGGAAAUUGAGAAAAUUCGGCAAAAAGUGGAUGACUGUGAACGCUGCCGGGAAUUGUUCAACAAAGAGGGGCGUGUGAAGGGCACCAGCUCAGCUAAGGAGGUUUUAGAUGAGGACACGGAUGAAGAGAAGGAGACACUCAAGAACCAGUUGAGAGAGAUGGAACUAGAACUGGCACAGACCAAGUUGCAGUUGGUGGAAGCUGAGUGUAAGAUACAGGACUUGGAGCACCAUUUAGGCCUUGCCCUAAACGAGGUACAGGCAGCCAAGAAGACGUGGUUUAACCGAACACUGAGCUCCAUAAAGACAGCAACUGGGGUUCAAGGGAAAGAGACUUGCUGAGAGCAGCUCCUGCCUCCAGACACCUUCAGAAAACAUGACACCUUUUGUUGCCUUCUUUGGCCAGAUGUGUGAUUCUGUGACAAGUUCCAGGACCAGAACGUACCCAAGUCAGAUCCAUAGAAGCAUGUUGGUGAAGAAAUUGGGCCCAUAGAGAGGUUCCUGCUCAGGCUACCCGGCUAGGACGUCACCCCACAUCUGACGCCCCAUGACCCUGUGGGCAGCAGUGGGGUCAGUACUUCCCUCAAGACUUCUGAGCUACUGUUAAGCUCUUGACGCGUCUCGUGGUGGUUUCUCUCCAGUUACUAGAACACCCGAAUGAGAUUUUUCCCAGGUUGGAAAGUACAGGUGAAAGCCUUGGCCCCAUGAUCGCAAGACCUUGGAUUUCAACCAGGUACCUCCACCACCUCUUCUAGGGCCCGUCCAAGAGCAGUAGUGCUCCCUCCCUCUGCCCCCAGCUUCAGCUGAACAGGCUCUUCCCUGUGCCAGUCACAGGCAAACAAACCCAGGCAGGCCAGUGGGAGCAGUGGGUCAGCUCUUGCAGUCAGUACAAGAGUGGUGGUGAAUCCAAAAUGACAGUGUGCAGGGAGAAGAUGGGCCCUGAGUUCCCAGUGAAACAAACACCUAGUGCCUUUGUCCACACACCGCUCCUCAUAGCUGGAGGGCAGCACUGGGGUGGGCUGCAGCCUGUCCUGGCCCCUUUAUCAUCUCUGGAACCCUAGUGUCCUGAUCUGGAAUGUCUGGGUAAUGCCCACCCUCCUCGCAAACAGAUGUGAGGAUAGUGAGGUCUGUGAAAGCACGUGGUACCUUCUGAGGUUUAGGAUUCAUCCCUUCACAUGAAGGGCAGAUGCUGUCCCAUGUACUGAGCAGGAGAGUCAGUCAUGAGGGCCAGGAAAGUGGCUCUGCACAGAGUAACUCAGCCCAUUGUUGUUUAAGACAGAAGCUUUUAUUUUUAUUCAUCCAAAUGGGGGAAAUGCAACAUGUCAGGGCAUUACAGGCCACAGCAGCCGGACAGGAGGAUCAGUCUAUGGCAGAGUCCAACACAGUGCGUAGGAGCCACAGUGUGGGUGCUGCCUGUGGAGUCAGGGUGGCAGAGAGUCCCUUUGGGUGAAGGCCAGGCUUCUCUGGGCGAGGCACUGGUGACAGUCCACAUAUGCAGGCUGCUGCUUCUACCACACCGAAGGUUCAACGGUCACAGUCCUACAUGUUACCAUUGCCCCAGAAAAGGAGGACAAGUCCGUGGUGGUGGUUUUCCAGUAUUUUUGUUUAACAUAAUACACAACAGAGAGUUAUUGCCAAGGACUUUGCACUGCAAAUUAUACUAUUUACAAUUGUGUAUUCAGAAAAAAAAACAGUAAGUAGAUACAGAUAUUUUAAGUAGAUGUCUAAAAACUACCUUGGCCAUCACCAGACCAGAGUGCGGGUAAGCUACAGCCAGGAGUCCACUGCCACGUGCACGACCAUGCAGCAGGGAGAGGUUUCCACCCACGGCUAUGCUCAGCCUUCUCCAUGCUGCCUGUGCCUCCCUCCCCCCACCUGGGCCUGAGCAAGAGCCACCUGACCCCUUCACAAGGGAAGCCCCUCCAGGCAGGAACACUUCCUGGCAGGCAGACCCGGCCCCUCGUCAGCCCCUUCCCCAGCUCGCCCUGCCAAGAGCACCCUUGAGACCAGGCCCAUCAGUCUCUGUUCCUGGAAGUGCCCUCCCCCUAGUGAGGGCUCCUUCAGGAGCUCUGUCUUAAGAUGUGGCUGGGGCCCAAGCAGGCACUUACAGAGAUCAACAGGCCAGCAGAUGGGUCCCAGGUGAAAGGCCUGACUUCUAAGAUACUUAGGGAAAAACAAGAUAAACACUGCUAAGGGCUGAAGUAUAUGAAGUUUGCUCAAGUAAAAUGGCUCAGGACUCACUAGAAGAUGAGGGCCAAAGACCUGUGACCAAGUGUUCACUUUGCCUCAAGCCCUGGGGAGGGAGGCAGUCUGGAGGUUGGAGACAGCUCAUCAGCCAGCCGAAGCCACCCUAGACUCCCGGGACACAUAGUUAGGCCCCUAGUCAGGGGCCUUAGGGAUGCCUGCAAUUUGGCUCCCCUGUUUAGUUUCUGAAAAUAAGCCUUCCUGUGUCCAGGAGAGGUGGUAGUGAGUGGUCAUUGAGCCACCUCCCACUCAGCCAUGGCAGGGCCCAGCACUGGCCAGCCACACUAAGUGACUGAGGGGAGGAGCAGCACACAGUGUCCCCCGCCAUGAAAGGAUGGUGCCGUGAGGUCCCUGCCUGACCGUACAGAGCGGGCCUUGGAGCAAGAGAUGCUGUCACGGUCAGGGUCCGACAGCAGCACCUCUGGCAUGUCAGGUGAGAAAAGAGGCUGUGGGAGUGAGGGUUUCCUGGCUAAACUCCCAGGUCCUACCUCGUGUGUGGGCUGCAGCCUGAGGGAGCCAGUGAGACACUGUACUGGAGGUCACAGAGGCCCCACUCUACGUCCCUGUGGCCAGAGCCGUGCUCUCAGGGAGAGGAGCAGGGCUGGCCCUGCAAAGGGGGAGAGCUGGACACUCAAGAGGGCAACUUUCUGAAUUACAAGUCUCACCCUGUUGUCCCUGUCCUUCCUUCCUUUCUGUGAACAUGGCUUCCUAGAACAGAAAUGUUUGGGUUGGAGUCAAAAAAAGAACUUGGCCUAGGCAGGAAAAUGAGGCAGAGGGCAUGGGGCCUCUGGCCAGGGCAGUGACUGCCACACCUGCCUGGUGGAAGGCCCCUCUGGCUUCAUGGCCAAGCCAGGCUCGCCUCUGUCCUUUCCCCUCCUGUGAGUCCAGAAACACCUAUAGAGAUCACAAGCCUAUGGGUGUCUGAGAGCCCUCCCACAGCCCCGAGAGAGACAAGACCAGGCAGCAAGAGACAAGACCAACAACGGCGCCAGCGUGCCCCAGAGGCACAGGUCUCAGUGACUCUCCCUUCCGACACCUUCACUGGUUCUCACCUGGCAAAACAGCUUCCCUUGGCCCAGGUGGCACCAGUCCUUGGCUCUCAGCAAUGGCCUGCUGCCUUGCCCAACCACUCAGGACAGCACCAGACGCCUUGCCUCCUGACUGGGACCCCAGAGGACUGGAGUGACACAGGCCCAAUGGAAGCUGCUCUCUGCUGGAGGAGCCUGUGUGGAGCUUUGGGCACGUGCCUCCCUUCCCUGAGCUCCCACAGGCCUGUUGGGGGAGCUCAGUGAAGUGGCAUCUGUGCAGGCGCUGGCCUCAGGUCUUUCUCCAGUCCCUCCUGUCACUGUACACGAAGUGCACAUCGCCUCCCAGCUUUCAUUUGCCGUAACUGUGUCAGGCCCUCACCAGUGUGCAGUAAACAACUCCCUUCACCCACCUCUGAAUACAGGCUUUCAAGCACAGAGCACUGUCUAUGUUUACAGGAAUAGUGUAACUGCCUCACUUUUUCUUUUUCACCACCCCACUGAGCCCCUCGGGGCAGGUCCAGCCUGGAGUGCUGUCUGCUUCAGCCUGGCACACGUGCACAUCUCGCCUCAGUAGUCCGCAGGCUUGACAGUGUAUCAUUUGCUCUGUGUGCUGGACACAGGCCUGGCCGCAGGUGCAAAGACCAAAAGCAACUGAAGACAGGUGGUGCUGUCUUACGUGAUCUUUAGGAUGACAAGACAGAAAAAGUCUGAAGCUCUAUCAUGUCAAAAACGUGUGGUGCUCACCAGCCCACUGAAGCCAGCGGCCAGAAAACCACCCAGCUCUAGGCCUCUCCCCCCACUCGGUUACCAACAAUAACCAAACCCUUGGCUAAAAAGAGUCCAGGCUAACCUGAAAGAUCCCAUCUGUAACCACAGACCUGAUUUUUCCCUUCUACAUCCAGAGUGACAUUUCCAAGAUGUACUUGUUCCUUUCCCUCCUGAGCCCCGACAUUCACACCAUUCUCAGUGUCUGACAAGCUCACACGCAUCUUCCCUGGAGCUGCCGCCUCAGGGCCCUCCUGACACCCCCAGUCCUCUUCUCCUCUGGGCCCUAUGACCCUGGACUUCCCUGAGCCCUGCUGUGUGUUUUGUUCUCUGUCACUGUCCACCUCUCACCUAAAACCUCAGGUCUCUGUGGGCAAGGACUGCCCCUUCUUCAUCCUCAGUACUCACAAAGCCUUUGGGAAGACAGGUCCGAGCAGCAGAUGGAAGUUUCCAGUCAUGAUUAAGCCAGAGGGUGGUGAGUAAUCUCUAUAGUCUAAAGCAGGGGUUUGCAGAACAUGACCCCAUUUCCUGUGUGUUAUGAGUAGAGUGUUGGACCGCACCAAACCUGUCUGCUCACGCAUCGUCUCUGGUUGCCCCUGUGCUGUAGUGGUGGAGCGGCGGGGCUUUGACACAGCAAGGAGUCCAGAGUCUUGCUGACAACCUGGGCCUUUCCAGAAGUUCACCAACACCAGGUCUAAGACAGUGUUCUCAUAUAUUUGCACACUGUGACACAAGAGGUGACAUUUGUGUGGCCCACUAGGGUAAACAGAAAAGGCCAUUUAGAGACACCUGACCUUAGGGCUCUGACCACCCAAAAGAUUCAUGAGAUCAAUGUCUGGUGUACCUGUGCAGAAACCCUCCCUGCCCACCUGUCCAGGAUGAACCAGAGUUGGCAGGACUGACACACAAAACUGAGGCCCAAAGCAAAUCCUUUAGGAAUCUCACAAUUUCUCAUUUUUCCCUCGAAGUACUCUGUAAACAGGUCUGCACCUGCCCUCUGGCCAAGGCCGUGUUCUGCAGAAUCCCAUGAGUUCCAGCCCUUGCCCAGGAUUACGGCAGGUGGCACAGAAAAAUGACCAGGUGCCAAGAUGAUGAUGCCUUGGAAUGAGGGAAGAACACCUUUCCCUGAAGAGGCUUCUCCAUCCUCCUCACGCCCACAUGCCCCUACGCGGAGAUGCGGUUAGGCGUUAGUUGCCAAAGUAGCUCUGAGGCCGUGUGCGGCAGCAGGACACUCAGACAAACUCAGCUGAGCAGCUCACAGGCAACAAUUCAGGGCUCACCAAGCUCAGUCCAAUCUAGAGGGAAGCCUGCCACCUCCAGGCUGGCCGCCUUCCCUGAAGCCAGGGCAAACUCCUGGCAGAACAGGCUGUUUGGCAGAGAUGCUAAGGUGUCCAGGGACACCUCCUCCCCUUAGAUCCCAAACCUGGACUGCCACCCCUCCGUGCCCCUCCUUCCUCUCACCCAGUGAUCCAAAGUGUCCCCAGUCUUCCUUCAGUCUCUUUCAAGUCAUUUUUGAGACACCCCCAUCACCAUCCUCAGGCCAGAUAGUAUACUCGCAUAGCAUUAGCUAAAUGAAAACAUAAUUUCUCCCUGAUAGUAAAAAACAAGCUUCAAACACAAAAGCUUCCUCUGUUCAUAUAGCCACACCUCAGUAUUCCAGCCUGUCUUUGUGGUUUAUUAAACAACUUUUCCACGUG